GCGUUCUUAGUUCAAGGGUAGAAUACGAGCUUCCCACAGGUGGAAUCUGCUCGUGGUACGAGUUCGAGUCUCGUAGGACGCA